ACACUCACCUGGCAAGGAGACACCACGCUCGUGACAGUGGUUUUCCCAGGGUGAGGCUUAUCCAUUGCACGCUGGAUGUGCUGACCCCCUGUGAUUUCCCCAGAUGUGGGACACUCAUCUGCAUGACUUGUGGUAGUGGGGGACUGCCUUCCUCUG
ensembl:snRNA U1 U1 spliceosomal RNA